GAUGAACGCUGGCGGCGUGCUUAACACAUGCAAGUCGAACGGAGAGCUAAUGACAGAGGAUUCGUCCAAUGGAUUUAGUUUCUUAGUGGCGGACGGGUGAGUAACGCGUGAGUAACCUGCCUUGGAGUGGGGAAUAACACAGUGAAAAUUGUGCUAAUACCGCAUAAUGCAUUUAGGUCGCAUGACUUUGAAUGCCAAAGAUUUAUCGCUCUGAGAUGGACUCGCGUCUGAUUAGCUAGUUGGCGGGGCAAUGGCCCACCAAGGCGACGAUCAGUAGCCGGACUGAGAGGUUGGCCGGCCACAUUGGGACUGAGACACGGCCCAGACUCCUACGGGAGGCAGCAGUGGGGAAUAUUGGGCAAUGGGCGCAAGCCUGACCCAGCAACGCGCGUGAAGGAGAAGGCUUUCGGUGUAAACUCUUUAGUCAGGACGAAGCAAGUGACGGUACCUGACGAAUAAGCCAAC
rnacentral:rRNA from 1 species